rnacentral:rRNA from 1 species
AGCGAACGCUGGCGGCAGGCCUAACACAUGCAAGUCGAACGAAGUCUUCGGACUUAGUGGCGGACGGGUGAGUAACACGUGGGAACGUGCCUUUAGGUUCGGACUAACUCAGGGAAACUUGUGCUAAUACCGAAUGUGCCCUUCGGGGGAAAGAUUUAUCGCCUUUAUAGCGGCCCGCGUCUGAUGAGCUAGUUGGUGAGGUAAAGGCUCGCAAGGCUACGAUCAGUAGCUGGUCUGAGAGGAUGACCAGCCACAUUGGGACUGAGACACGGCCCAAACUCCUACGGGAGGCAGCAGUGGGGAAUCUUGCGCAAUGGGCGAAAGCCUGACGCAGCCAUGCCGCGUGGAUGAUGAAGGUCUUAGGAUUGUAAAAUCCUUUCACCGGUGAAGAUAAUGACUGUAGCCGGAGAAGAAGCCCCGGCUAACUUCGUGCCAGCCGCCGCCGUAAUAC